rnacentral:rRNA from 1 species
UUCCCAAUUAGUAAGACCCCUUGAAGACGACGAGGUAGAUAGGUUGGAGGUGGAAGUGCAGCAAUGCAUGGAGCUGACCAAUACUAAUCGGUCGAGGGCUUAUCCUAAUAU